UACAACACACCCAAAUAUCUCUUCAGCUUCACAGGCAAACACUUACAGUUUCUCCCCGAUCCCCCCUUAGCCGCAACUCAGAAGUCCAUGCCCAUGUCAAGAAGCCUGUCAUUCCACUACUUUCCCCACGUGUCCUGCACUCUCUGUUUUACGAUCUAUCACCACGGUCUCAUCCUCUCCUCCAUCAAUCUCCUUCAAUCAACCCCUCCAGACAUUUUCUCAGGGUUCCUUAUCAAACCACGCAGUUUCCUUAUCCUUCAGAAAGAAUAUUGUUUAUCAUGAAAUAUUUAAUGACAUAUGAUGGCGACUGUCAUGUACUGUAUCUGUUUGCUUGUAACACUAGCUGCUUGCUGGCCAUACACCUUCAAAUCAUUGUUAGAUUUGUGAAAUUGUGUUAAUUUAAUGGAAGGUGGAAGAUGGGUGGUCAGCUUCUUUCUGUUGGCUGAAGCAAGUGUUUGUCUUUACCUCACCCCAGUCUCAUUUUAUCAGUACCUAACUUUCGCAAUUUACGGUCAGGUACCUUCCUGGCUUACUCAUUAUGCAGCAACAUCGUCAUCUUAUGGUAAUGGCCGUUCAUAUCAUCGUUGAGGUAGCAAGUUUGGUGUUCAUGACUUCAGAAGUUCAUCAAAUAAUGGCGGAGGCAACAGGUAUGAUAGUUGUGGCAGCGGCAUCAAUGAUUAUUAUGCAAGCAACAGCAGCUAUAAUGUUCUGCUGGUGGAGGUGGUGAUGCUUAUGCUGGCGGCCGUGAGGAAAUGAAUCUUGGUUUUUGCAGCCUGGCAGCAUAGUGUGUCAUGGUGACAAAUCAACUGCCAGGGACACAAUGAAGAAUGCUGGUUUUACAAUUGUACCAGGGAGCGAUGGUUUGCUACAGAACACUAAAGAAGCAAUCAGGCUUGCUAGGGACAUUGGCUACCCUGUGAUGAUUAAGGCAGAGAUUCUUGUAUUUGUAUACUAAAUCUACGAUGUCUAUACUAUAUUGGCUUGUUUUGAUAUAUAAUGUAGCAUCUUUUUAUAUUAUUCUUAAAAAAAUAUCCUGCAUGAGAGUGUGAAAGUAUAUGUAGCAUUUUAACCCACAAGGUUUUAGACGAUAAUAAUCUGGUAAAAGAUACCAAUUGCUUGACCUUGGUGGAUGUUAUUAUGUUAAUUCUGUCAAGAAGCUUAGUAUGCAUGAGUGAUUGCUGCUUUUGCUUGUUUGACCAAUGAUCCUUGUUGCACGCAAUAGAUACUCUAUAAUACAACCUACGAAUAAAUUCGUUAAGCGUGGAACGUCUUUUUAGAUCAUCAAAUGUUUGUGACGAAUUGACUAAUCAAGCAGUAUAUAGUGCUUGAAGUAUAUUACAGUCAAAUUCUGUUUUCAUGUUCAGUCUUUGUUUGGAGGUAUAUUUAGAUUUGUUCUAUGGGGCGACGCCAUAAUGGGCUUUAGACAAAAAUGAAAUUUUGUGGUGUGUUUGUUUGGUUGGAAUGAAUGAUUUUCCUGGCUAUCUUAUUGACCCAAUAUUCAUAUUUCCAUAUUCUAUCCCUCAUAGAUUAUGCUAGGAUUCAUGCCAUUCAUCAACAUAAGUUAAAUUUUCUCACACCAUAUGGUUCCAUAACUUCUUGUCAUCACCUCCCACUUAUUUCUUCCUAUCUCUAUAAUCAUUCCCUUUCAAACUCUGAUCUCGUUCACAACCCCAUUUAUUUCAAUCAAACAUCCUAAUUAAAUAAAAUAUUGAACUGAAAUUCCCGCUAGAAAGUGUAAAUUAUAUAAAGUUUUCUGAGUGAAGAGAGACAAUGAUUGUUCUGAUGGAGGCACUUUACCUAAUUAUGGGCUAGAAAUAUAUUUAUGAUUCUCUGUGC